GCGGUUCUAGUGUAGUGGUCAUCACGUCUCGUUGUGGCGAAGCAGCUUCCGAGGAGGUCCUCAGUUCGACUCUGGGGAACCGCA